GGGUUGUGAGGUUAAGCGACUAAGCGUACACGGUGGAUGCCCUGGCAGUCAGAGGCGAUGAAGGACGUGCUAAUCUGCGAUAAGCGUCGGUAAGGUGAUAUGAACCGUUAUAACCGGCGAUUUCCGAAUGGGGAAACCCAGUGUGAUUCGUCACACUAUCAUUAACUGAAUCCAUAGGUUAAUGAGGCGAACCGGGGGAACUGAAACAUCUAAGUACCCCGAGGAAAAGAAAUCAACCGAGAUUCCCCCAGUAGCGGCGAGCGAACGGGGAGCAGCCCAGAGCCUGAAUCAGUGUGUGUGUUAGUGGAAGCGUCUGGAAAGGCGCGCGAUACAGGGUGACAGCCCCGUACACAAAAAUGCACAUGCUGUGAGCUCGAUGAGUAGGGCGGGACACGUGGUAUCCUGUCUGAAUAUGGGGGGACCAUCCUCCAAGGCUAAAUACUCCUGACUGACCGAUAGUGAACCAGUACCGUGAGGGAAAGGCGAAAAGAACCCCGGCGAGGGGAGUGAAAAAGAACCUGAAACCGUGUACGUACAAGCAGUGGGAGCACGCUUAGGCGUGUGACUGCGUACCUUUUGUAUAAUGGGUCAGCGACUUAUAUUCUGUAGCAAGGUUAACCGAAUAGGGGAGCCGAAGGGAAACCGAGUCUUAACUGGGCGUUAAGUUGCAGGGUAUAGACCCGAAACCCGGUGAUCUAGCCAUGGGCAGGUUGAAGGUUGGGUAACACUAACUGGAGGACCGAACCGACUAAUGUUGAAAAAUUAGCGGAUGACUUGUGGCUGGGGGUGAAAGGCCAAUCAAACCGGGAGAUAGCUGGUUCUCCCCGAAAGCUAUUUAGGUAGCGCCUCGUGAAUUCAUCUCCGGGGGUAGAGCACUGUUUCGGCAAGGGGGUCAUCCCGACUUACCAACCCGAUGCAAACUACGAAUACCGGAGAAUGUUAUCACGGGAGACACACGGCGGGUGCUAACGUCCGUCGUGAAGAGGGAAACAACCCAGACCGCCAGCUAAGGUCCCAAAGUCAUGGUUAAGUGGGAAACGAUGUGGGAAGGCCCAGACAGCCAGGAUGUUGGCUUAGAAGCAGCCAUCAUUUAAAGAAAGCGUAAUAGCUCACUGGUCGAGUCGGCCUGCGCGGAAGAUGUAACGGGGCUAAACCAUGCACCGAAGCUGCGGCAGCGACGCUUAUGCGUUGUUGGGUAGGGGAGCGUUCUGUAAGCCUGCGAAGGUGUGCUGUGAGGCAUGCUGGAGGUAUCAGAAGUGCGAAUGCUGACAUAAGUAACGAUAAAGCGGGUGAAAAGCCCGCUCGCCGGAAGACCAAGGGUUCCUGUCCAACGUUAAUCGGGGCAGGGUGAGUCGACCCCUAAGGCGAGGCCGAAAGGCGUAGUCGAUGGGAAACAGGUUAAUAUUCCUGUACUUGGUGUUACUGCGAAGGGGGGACGGAGAAGGCUAUGUUGGCCGGGCGACGGUUGUCCCGGUUUAAGCGUGUAGGCUGGUUUUCCAGGCAAAUCCGGAAAAUCAAGGCUGAGGCGUGAUGACGAGGCACUACGGUGCUGAAGCAACAAAUGCCCUGCUUCCAGGAAAAGCCUCUAAGCAUCAGGUAACAUCAAAUCGUACCCCAAACCGACACAGGUGGUCAGGUAGAGAAUACCAAGGCGCUUGAGAGAACUCGGGUGAAGGAACUAGGCAAAAUGGUGCCGUAACUUCGGGAGAAGGCACGCUGAUAUGUAGGUGAAGUCCCUCGCGGAUGGAGCUGAAAUCAGUCGAAGAUACCAGCUGGCUGCAACUGUUUAUUAAAAACACAGCACUGUGCAAACACGAAAGUGGACGUAUACGGUGUGACGCCUGCCCGGUGCCGGAAGGUUAAUUGAUGGGGUUAGCGCAAGCGAAGCUCUUGAUCGAAGCCCCGGUAAACGGCGGCCGUAACUAUAACGGUCCUAAGGUAGCGAAAUUCCUUGUCGGGUAAGUUCCGACCUGCACGAAUGGCGUAAUGAUGGCCAGGCUGUCUCCACCCGAGACUCAGUGAAAUUGAACUCGCUGUGAAGAUGCAGUGUACCCGCGGCAAGACGGAAAGACCCCGUGAACCUUUACUAUAGCUUGACACUGAACAUUGAGCCUUGAUGUGUAGGAUAGGUGGGAGGCUUUGAAGUGUGGACGCCAGUCUGCAUGGAGCCGACCUUGAAAUACCACCCUUUAAUGUUUGAUGUUCUAACGUUGACCCGUGAUCCGGGUUGCGGACAGUGUCUGGUGGGUAGUUUGACUGGGGCGGUCUCCUCCUAAAGAGUAACGGAGGAGCACGAAGGUUGGCUAAUCCUGGUCGGACAUCAGGAGGUUAGUGCAAUGGCAUAAGCCAGCUUGACUGCGAGCGUGACGGCGCGAGCAGGUGCGAAAGCAGGUCAUAGUGAUCCGGUGGUUCUGAAUGGAAGGGCCAUCGCUCAACGGAUAAAAGGUACUCCGGGGAUAACAGGCUGAUACCGCCCAAGAGUUCAUAUCGACGGCGGUGUUUGGCACCUCGAUGUCGGCUCAUCACAUCCUGGGGCUGAAGUAGGUCCCAAGGGUAUGGCUGUUCGCCAUUUAAAGUGGUACGCGAGCUGGGUUUAGAACGUCGUGAGACAGUUCGGUCCCUAUCUGCCGUGGGCGCUGGAGAACUGAGGGGGGCUGCUCCUAGUACGAGAGGACCGGAGUGGACGCAUCACUGGUGUUCGGGUUGUCAUGCCAAUGGCACUGCCCGGUAGCUAAAUGCGGAAGAGAUAAGUGCUGAAAGCAUCUAAGCACGAAACUUGCCCCGAGAUGAGUUCUCCCUGACUCCUUGAGAGUCCUGAAGGAACGUUGAAGACGACGACGUUGAUAGGCCGGGUGUGUAAGCGCAGCGAUGCGUUGAGCUAACCGGUACUAAUGAACCGUGAGGCUUAACCUUACAACGCCGAAGGUGUUU
rnacentral:rRNA from 1 species